GCAAUCUAUAAACCCGAUUUAGUAUGAAUUGAACCAAUAGUUUUGCUGCUUAAGUGUUAACAAAGAAACAAACUGAACCAAAAACAAUACCACUUGCCUCCCCUUUGUGGGGGUGGGUUAAUAAACUCAUUUUU